CGGUAGACUUUCAUGCAUGCUUUUCAAAAAAGAAAAGGGGAGUUUGAAUCCUUAUAAGCAAAAAUAUAGCCUUUUCGUUGGUGGUAAAACAUGCGGAUAAGAAUGGAAGGUACUUAAUAACACAAUGCUAUUUCAAUAAUGCGCAGUACACGCUAGUUAAGAUAUAUACGCACCACAUACUGACCAACUAGCAUUCUUAGAAAAUGUGUUUUAAAAAAUUGAUAAAUGGAGGCUGAGGGAGGUGAUUAUUGGAGGAGAUUCUAACUUUAUAUUAGACGACUAGAUGGAUGUUACAUACUCUGGGGGAUGUGGCUCAUUCCACGAUGCUC